rnacentral:misc_RNA from 1 species
UUAUUUUCUUGCUUUUUGCAACCGCGGGACCGCGUUUCUGCGCUUCAGAUUGCGUUUUUCCGACUCCUUUGUUUGAUAUCGUGUCGUAUCGUCGUAUUUAUGUAGUUAUUAGGAACGGCAAGGCCUACGUUGUUGCGUCCUUUACCUGAAUAUCGUGACCGAAUCGAGUGUCGUCGAUUUGAAUCGUGUCUUGCGAACCAUCGUCGAACAAAAGGUGAUGGCUGGUCGUGGUUCAUCAGCGUUUGUUUUGAAACUGAUGGGUACCACAAGGCAUGAAGGAGGUGACUUGCAGCAGCAAGGCACUGCAAGCCUUCGCAGCAACUGGCUAGCCAGUGCUGCUCUGUUCUGAACUGCACUGCGUGUCAUGCGGAGGUUUUGUGCAAGCUCUCUGGGCGGCGACGCUAGCCACGAUUGGCUUCGUGGAUGCACAGAAAUACUCAAGGCGCUUGACGUCUGUGGCUCAUCUGUAUUGUUUUUCCCGGUACCACGGCAUGAAGGAGCUGGCCUCCCUCCCUUCCAUCAGCUGCGAGAUACUACAAGCACUGGGCUACAGCUGCAGCUAGCCCAUGGGUACCGGGGACCAUGACAUCAGUGAGCUGGCUUUCACCUUGUCCAAGGCAGCAGCGGAACACUACGGGCGGGACCCUGGAUCACUGCACCAUGGAUGCCGUCCUGUACCCUGCACGGCACUGCGUGUGGCUUAAGUGGCCAAGCAGAGGGUCAUUGCAUGACUUUUAUGAGGCGCCGCUAGCCAUUGUUUCAAACCGUCCUGAAUCACGGACCAAGCCUUGCAAGACCUCACUCUUAUGCCCUCUCCUUUUUGGUGGAUCGGGUCUUGCCAUCUUCCCCUCUCGUGGCUCCCUGUCAUAAAUAAAUUGUAUAUUUUUCUGA